AGAGGAGAAGCGGGCGCGGGGAGGAAAAGCAGGAGGAGGCAGAGGCGGUCCGGGCCGGGCCUGACCCCUGCGUCCCGGGGGCACAGGCGUUCUUAAGGCUGCAGAGCCCUGGGUCCCCCACCCGGCCCCGGUUCACUUUGAGCGGUCCCAAGGCCUGAGGGCCUACUGUCCAGUCCCCGGGUUAUCGUCCUGAGCAAAGACAGACCCCGAGCCCUGCGGUCUUGGGGCUCAAACAGUCCCUGGAUGGCCAAACAAGCGAAUAUUCGCCAUGGCAGUGGGUGCUGGAAGGGUGGCUCACGGAGCUGACGCCCUCUGCAGAGAACCGUGGUCUAGUCCUGCGGUCACGAGGCCUAUCUGGGACAGUGGUGUUUGAGCUGAGACUUUAACGAAUAGAGACAGGUGAGGUUCCUGCAGCCCAGGGCAUCAGGCACUGUGCUAAGCAGUUUUCCUGGAAGUGUCUACCUCAUUUCGUUCGCUGAAUAGCUCUAAGAGUGUGAACAACCCCAGAAGGAAAAAGAGUGCUGUUGUUAAAGGUAUCUGGCAUCGUGGACCCAACCAUCACCAGGAGUUUCUCACUUCAUCUCUGCUUUAUUGUAGUAUAAUUUGCAUACAAUAAUGGCACACAUUUAAUGUGCACAGUGUGAUAAAUUUUGACAUAUGUAUACAUCCAUGAAGCCGGCACCACAAUCAAGAUAAUGAACAUCUCGCUUACCGCAGAAGUUUCCUGUGCCCUCUCACUCCUCCGUAUUCCUCCAUCCUCAGGAUUUCAUCAAAUGGUCUGCUGCACUGUGCUGGAAUUUUGAACUCCCCAGAGUAGUAAACAACAUCUUCUCAAGGGUAUACAAAUCAUCAGAUAGAGAAAACACCCAUUAUAGAGCUGUGGAGCCCUUACGAUAUAGUGCUAUGCUGCAACAAAGUAGACAGAAGAGUAUUUGUUGAAUAAUAAAAGCUUCAUUUAACCUCUCAGGGCAGUCAUAGAGUUGGUGGAUAAUCAAGACAAGAAUCACCGUUUAAUUUUUAUCAUUCAAGACUGAGUUUUGGCAGAGACUUACGGCUUCCAGAUUGCGGGUUUUAUUUAUUUGCUUGAGCAUUUACUAAACAGUUUUAAUAACCAAGCUCUGGAUGAGUUGCUGGAAGGCAGUUCAAGUAACUGCCUUAGUAUCAAUUGUUAUUAUUUUGAAUUGGUUAUGAAGUUGAAUAAGUUUGGAGUAUCCUUAACCAUACUUUUUCCAAUCCAACCUGGAGAUGUUCCAUGAAGGAAAUUCUGGAAAUUAUCGUUCUGACUUCUUUGCAAUGUAGAGGACACCACGGAAGGGGAUGACAAGGACUUUGAGAUCUCCAAAGCACCGAUCUAAUGAAAGAAAACUUAAUCUAGGAGGUGAAAGAGAAACCAAGACUGGAAGACACAGUUGAAAUGGAUUGCCACGUUUAUACAUACAUUGAUUUUUACAUGACUGCAUUCAGAAACAAAAUACCAUCCUCUGUGAUUAAUUUAUACAGCUUCCCUCUCAGUUAAAUUAAAAACAAAGUGAAUCCAUAGCAGCAGAUCCCCUUUUAGUUAGAGAUCUAACCUUUCUCAAGAAGCAAACAUGGAUUUAUACCUCCCUCAUUUGAUGGUCAGCUUAGGACGAUUGCUGAAUUCUCUGACACUGUUGGGAAUCCGCACAGUAAAAUACAUGUGAUUUCUACUGAAAAUUCAGAUAUAAGUCAAUCUGCUACAUUGGAGAGGUAAGAGAUUCUGAUUCUGCCACUUAAUCAUCUUCUGAAUAUUAGGCCAGGAAAGAGGAAGUAUAACAUGACUUAAAUUUUUGAGGGGACUGGGAAUCUAUGCACCUCUCUCCAUAAUUGUGACCGUGACUUAGCUAGUGCGGUCGUGCAGCAUGUCACACAUACUGGCUGGUAAAAUAUAAGAUGAUUAAAUAAAGUACAUGAAACAAUGUAUUUUUUUUUUCUGAGACGGAGGCUGGCUCUGUCACCCAGGCUGGAGUGCAGUGGCGCCAUCUCGGCUGACUGCAAGCUCCACCUCCCAGGUUCACGCCAUUCUCUUGCUUCAGCCUCCCAAAGUAGCUGGGACUACAGGCGCCCGCCCCCAUGCCAGGCUAAUUUUGUUUUUGUAUUUUUAGUAGAGAUGGGGUUUCACCGUGUUAGCCAGGAUGGUCUCGAUCUCCUGACCUCGUGAUCCGCCUGCCUCGGCCUCCUAAAGUGCUGGGAUUACAGGCGUGAGCCACUGCACCCGGCCGAGACAAUGUACUUUAUUUAGUGGCUACAGAUUCAUUUUUAUAUGUAUUAAAAUAUUGCUAGAACCUCAACUCUUUGGUUUCAUGGAUAAAAUUCUCAGGACAUUGUGAAAAUAAAGGCCUUAAUUUGAAACAAACUUUAAGACAAUUUUAGAGAAAAUACUACAAUGGGGUAUGCAAGAUAUGCAUGAAGAAAGUGAAGGACUGAAGUAUGGGAACUACCACUAGGAUAGACUUAUUUUUCUUCCUUUUAAGAUGUUGGUGAGCCUUGUCUGUCUUUUCUGAAGUAUUUGGAGAAAAGGGAGGGAGGACAGAGUGGGAGGAAGAGAGAAAAUGGACCUGACCAGUUAGAGAACUAUAGUUAUUCAAAGUUCAUCAAGUAGAAAAAGAGAAACAUUCAAAAACAUAUUUUGAAAUAUAUUUUGAAAAAACAAAUACAAACAUUUAGAGAAUAAUGUCAUGAACCCCAAUAUAGCUAUCACCCAAAUUCAACAAUGGAUUUUGUUGGGUUCUCAGAUCAAGUCAUGACCAAUCUUGUUUCAGUUGCAUCCCACCCAUUUCCUUUCAUCCUCCCAGAUUAUUUUGAAGCAAAUCCCAGGUAUCAUAUCUUGUCUAUAUGUAUCUCAGCAGUCAUCUUAGAAAGAUAAGAACUUUUUUUAAAAACAGAGAUUUCCAGUUGCUUUUCUGGCAGGUAAGAAACAUAGAAGUUGCCACUCUGUCCUAACAAGUACAAAUAAAUGAGGUCAUCAGACCCAUCAAAGAAAUGAGGUCACAGGAAAGACUACUGUCCCCAAAAUUGGAGAGAUUGGGAGCUACAAUCCAAGAUGAGAUUUGGGUGGGGAUACAACCAAACCAUAUCACCAUGCUAACAUCAGGCAAAAGAACUGGAAGUAGCUAUACUAAUUUCAGACACAGCAGACCUCAGAGCCAGGAAAAUUAUCAGAAAUAAAGAGGGGAUAUUACUUAAUGAUAAAAGUGUCAAUGCUCCAAGAAGACAUAACAGUCUUUAAGAUGUGUAUGCCUAAGGACAGUGUCAAAAUAGUUGAAACAGAAACUGAGAGAAUUGCAAGGAGAAACAGGAGAAUCCACCCUUAUAGUUGGAGACUCCAACACUCCUCUAUUAGAAGAGGACAGAUCCAAAAGGUGGAGGACGUGGUUGAACUCAAGAGCACCAUCAGUCAACUUGUAUUGCACAUAUUAGAAAAGAAGAAUCUCAAAUCAAUAAUUUAAGCCCUCACCUUAGGAAGCUAGAAAAGGAAGAGCAAAUUAAAUCCAAAGUAAGCGGAAGAAAAGAAAUAAUAAAAGCUAGAAUGCACAUCAAUACAAUUGAGAAACAAAAAGUCAACAAAGAAAAUAAAU